rnacentral:sRNA from 1 species
AAAGAAACUGGAGCCACCAUCAAGCUGUCUAAGUCCAAAGAUUUUUACCCAGGGCCUGUCAUAGCAUUGUUGACAGGAACAGAUGAAAAAUGAAAUUAAUGUCUUGAGGUUUUUAACAGCAAAAUGAUUAAGGUGUUAACAGUCUAAUUCUACGAAAACAAAUUUGCAUGGCAUCACUAACCUAAGAACCACUACAUCAAAUCCGGAAUCCUUUGUAUGAAUUUCAAAGCCCUUUAUAAUCUGGCCCUACUUUACCUAUUCUUAGUUUGUGCUGUUGAUUCUCUAAUGCAUAUGUUGCCAUUACAGUGAUUAUACCUUUACUGUGCAUCCUCACUUGCUCUGUACAUACUCACCUUUCCCAUUGCUCAUGGUGCCUCCCAAUAACUUUAAGAAUCUAACUCAGUUUAGUUCACAGGUUGUACUGUAUUGUUUCAUUUGCGAGUGUAACUUAAUAGAUUAUUGUCAGAUCAUUAUUAAAGGCAUUGAC